rnacentral:lncRNA from 1 species
GUCUGGAUAUUUCAAUAGCCUUGAACGUGGCUGUGGAUCAUCUUUGGCGUGAGUAACAGGAAGGAGCAUCUACCUUCUUGCCACCAAAAACCGCAGUAGCCUGGGCAAAUUGUCAAAGGGUCUAGCCUGGGACUUCUUGCAAAACAACGGGCUUUGAAAGUGCAAGAUCUGCUGCUUCACUCUUGAAGAGCUGACAGACAUCCCACCUUUUCCAGGAGGAUUGUGACUGGAGCUUCAAUCAUCCCUCCCCCCCACCGCCUCCGGUUCUGUGCAGUAGGCCUCAUUGUAU